GAUGAACGCUGGCGGCGUGCUUAACACAUGCAAGUCGAACGGAAAGGCCGAAGCUUGCUUCGGUACUCGAGUGGCGAACGGGUGAGUAACACGUGGGUGAUCUGCCCUGUACUUCGGGAUAAGCUUGGGAAACUGGGUCUAAUACCGGAUAUGACGAUCUCUUGGAUGGGGUUGUGGAAAGCUUUUGCGGUAUGGGAUGUGCUCGCGGCCUAUCAGCUUGUUGGUGGGGUACUGGCCUACCAAGGCGUCGACGGGUAGCCGGCCUGAGAGGGUGUACGGCCCCAUUGGGACUGAGAUACGGCCCCGACUCCUACGGGGGGCAGCAGUGUGGAAUAUUGCACAAUGGGCGCAAGCCUGAUGCAGCGACGCCGCGUGGGGGAUGACGGCCUUCGGGUUGUAAACUCCUUUCGCAAUCGACGAAGCCUUUUGGUGACGGUAGGUUGAGAAGAAGCACCGGCUAACUACGUG
rnacentral:rRNA from 1 species